rnacentral:rRNA from 1 species
GCCUAAAGCGUCCGUAGCCGGUUUGAUAAAUUUCCUGUGAAAUCGUUCGACUUAAUCGAUCGACGUGCAGGGAAGACUGUUAAACUUGGGACCGGGAGGGGUAAGAAGUAUGUCUGGGGGAGCGGUAAAAUGUUAUAAUCCCAGAUGGACUGCCAAUGGCGAAGGCAUCUUACCAGAACGGAUCCGACGGUGAGGGACUAAAGCUGGGGGAGCGAUCCGGAUUAGAUACCCGAGUAGUCCCAGCCCUAAACGCUGCGAGCCAGGUGUUGCACAAUCUUCAGGAUUGUGCAGUGUCGAAACGAAGGUGUUAAGCUCGCCGCCUGGGAAGUACGGUCGCAAGACUGAAACUUAAAGGAAUAGGCGGGGGAGCACUACAAGGGGUGCGGCGUGCGGUUUAAUCUAACUCCACGCAGAGAAUCUCACCAGCGGCGACGGCAGAAUGAAAGUCAGUCUAAAGGGCUUACUUGACGAGCCGAGAGGUGGUGCAUGGCCGCCGUCAGCUCGUGCCGUAAGGUGUUCAUUUAAGUAUGACAACGAGCGAGACCUGUGCCUCUAAUUGCCAGCGGGCCCUACGGGGUGACCGGGCACAUUAGCGGGACUGCUUUGGUAACAAAGAGGAAGGUGCAGGCAACGGUAGGUCAGUAUGCCCCGAA